rnacentral:rRNA from 1 species
GUUAAGCGACUAAGCGUACACGGUGGAUGCCCUGGCAGUCAGAGGCGAUGAAGGACGUGCUAAUCUGCGAUAAGCGUCGGUAAGGUGAUAUGAACCGUUAUAACCGGCGAUUUCCGAAUGGGGAAACCCAGUGUGUUUCGACACACUAUCAUUAACUGAAUCCAUAGGUUAAUGAGGCGAACCGGGGGAACUGAAACAUCUAAGUACCCCGAGGAAAAGAAAUCAACCGAGAUUCCCCCAGUAGCGGCGAGCGAACGGGGAGCAGCCCAGAGCCUGAAUCAGUGUGUGUGUUAGUGGAAGCGUCUGGAAAGGCGCGCGAUACAGGGUGACAGCCCCGUACACAAAAAUGCACAUGCUGUGAGCUCGAUGAGUAGGGCGGGACACGUGGUAUCCUGUCUGAAUAUGGGGGGACCAUCCUCCAAGGCUAAAUACUCCUGACUGACCGAUAGUGAACCAGUACCGUGAGGGAAAGGCGAAAAGAACCCCGGCGAGGGGAGUGAAAAAGAACCUGAAACCGUGUACGUACAAGCAGUGGGAGCACGCUUCGGCGUGUGACUGCGUACCUUUUGUAUAAUGGGUCAGCGACUUAUAUUCUGUAGCAAGGUUAACCGAAUAGGGGAGCCGAAGGGAAACCGAGUCUUAACUGGGCGUUAAGUUGCAGGGUAUAGACCCGAAACCCGGUGAUCUAGCCAUGGGCAGGUUGAAGGUUGGGUAACACUAACUGGAGGACCGAACCGACUAAUGUUGAAAAAUUAGCGGAUGACUUGUGGCUGGGGGUGAAAGGCCAAUCAAACCGGGAGAUAGCUGGUUCUCCCCGAAAGCUAUUUAGGUAGCGCCUCGUGAAUUCAUCUCCGGGGGUAGAGCACUGUUUCGGCAAGGGGGUCAUCCCGACUUACCAACCCGAUGCAAACUGCGAAUACCGGAGAAUGUUAUCACGGGAGACACACGGCGGGUGCUAACGUCCGUCGUGAAGAGGGAAACAACCCAGACCGCCAGCUAAGGUCCCAAAGUCAUGGUUAAGUGGGAAACGAUGUGGGAAGGCCCAGACAGCCAGGAUGUUGGCUUAGAAGCAGCCAUCAUUUAAAGAAAGCGUAAUAGCUCACUGGUCGAGUCGGCCUGCGCGGAAGAUGUAACGGGGCUAAACCAUGCACCGAAGCUGCGGCAGCGACGCUUAUGCGUUGUUGGGUAGGGGAGCGUUCUGUAAGCCUGUGAAGGUGUGCUGUGAGGCAUGCUGGAGGUAUCAGAAGUGCGAAUGCUGACAUAAGUAACGAUAAAGCGGGUGAAAAGCCCGCUCGCCGGAAGACCAAGGGUUCCUGUCCAACGUUAAUCGGGGCAGGGUGAGUCGACCCCUAAGGCGAGGCCGAAAGGCGUAGUCGAUGGGAAACAGGUUAAUAUUCCUGUACUUGGUGUUACUGCGAAGGGGGGACGGAGAAGGCUAUGUUGGCCGGGCGACGGUUGUCCCGGUUUAAGCGUGUAGGCUGGUUUUCCAGGCAAAUCCGGAAAAUCAAGGCUGAGGCGUGAUGACGAGGCACUACGGUGCUGAAGCAACAAAUGCCCUGCUUCCAGGAAAAGCCUCUAAGCAUCAGGUAACAUCAAAUCGUACCCCAAACCGACACAGGUGGUCAGGUAGAGAAUACCAAGGCGCUUGAGAGAACUCGGGUGAAGGAACUAGGCAAAAUGGUGCCGUAACUUCGGGAGAAGGCACGCUGAUAUGUAGGUGAAGCGACUUGCUCGUGGAGCUGAAAUCAGUCGAAGAUACCAGCUGGCUGCAACUGUUUAUUAAAAACACAGCACUGUGCAAACACGAAAGUGGACGUAUACGGUGUGACGCCUGCCCGGUGC